ensembl:lncRNA FOXG1-AS1 FOXG1 antisense RNA 1
GGGAGCACAUUGAUCAAAGGCUGUUUCAUCCCACAUGGGCACGAAACAUACCACAUUUUACGGAGGAUGUAGCCCCAGAGAAGAGGGAGGUGGAGAAGCAUAAAUGAAAGGCACCUUUUCCUUCCUCUAGAAGAUACCAUAGAGGAGAGGUCGAGGUCCUUCCACUGAAGCACCAAGUGGGGUAUAUAAAGCCACACUGCCCAUGAGGGCUGUGGUGUGAGUCUGCUAGCCGUGAGAGACAGAUGCAUUACAAAGGGAUGGAUUUAGUGCACUCUUUCCUCUCUUACUCACAGCCUGAACAGCCAGUGAACAAUGAAACAAAACUUCUUCCCAAGCCUCAAUGAGGAUUGUGCCAUAGUUUGAAGGCCAAAGAACAAUGGUCAAUCCAGCAAUCAACUCAUUUUGGCUGAUUUGUGCCUUUAGUCCAGGCUUCUCAGUUGUACCACACAGCCGUUCUUCUCUUCAAUUUCAGGGUCAUUCCUUCAGGAAUUCUGUCAGGAAUAAGCAGCAAGUUUCCUACUGCUCUGGGUCCUCCUUAGACCCUUCUUAUUUCAUGUUCAGAGGAAUGAACUCCACAUCCUGUCCUAAACUCCACCUUCCUUCUAUUAUUUUUUCAUAUUUGACAUUGAUACUCAUUGAAACUAGAAUCUGAAUUAUUACCACCAAAGAUAUUACCUUUUUUUUUGCACCGGAGAGCUUAAUCUUUAAAAUGUUCUGUGAGAGAUGGGAAUGGUGUACUAUCUUUCUAGUGUGGCAAAAGAAGAGAGAGUAACAAAAUAAUUGUGUUCAUAUUAAGAUUAUUUGAAUAUAAAUAUUUUGCCAAAUUUGUAUUUAGGUGUCCAUGUUAUUUUUAAUAAUUGGAUUGAUAUAAGUAGAUCUUAAGAAAUAUCAAAAAAAACCGUUUUGUCAAAUUGGAGUCAAGGAGGCAUGGAAAUUCUCUUCAUUUGCAGUACUCCUAAAUUCCUGCUUAUUCUGUGGUUGAAUUUAUAUCAACAAAGAGAAUUGGAGAUUAAGGCAAUUAAUCAGAAAUUUUAAUUAAAAAAGGAAUGGAAAAAAUAAGUAAAAUUUCCUAUAGAAUUCUAGGGUUUGACAUCUACACAGAUAUAUUCAUUAGGUAGAAUAAUAAGUCUUUUCUUUGCUCUUAUGAAAAUAUUGUUCUCUAAUUGUCAAUGAGCAUAAAGUAAAAUGAAGAUAGAUUAUACAAAUAUCCUUAUUGAUUAAAAGUUUAAAAUUGCCAGUGCCCAAGAAAUAUGCCUGAAUUCAAGGAUAUCUUAUUGCAAAGAAUAUCUUACUGCAGUUUGUUUUUUUUCCUUACUGUAAAUAAAGGGUCAACCAACAGCUAAUAACUCACAACUGCAUCUUUUCUUGUUAGAACAUGUCGCCCAGCACUUUUUGAUUAGAUGUUCUCAGAUAAUAGCUGGGGCAGAUUGACCAAAGGAGAGCAAUUUUUUUUUUAAUCAGGAUAACAUAAUGAUUCCAUCACAAACUUUAGAAAGGGCUAUGGAUAUCACCAAUUUUCUUUUUUUGUCUAUUAUUAGUGCUGUAUCUUUAGUGGAAUUGAAGACAUGACCUUCUGCAGGUUUCAAUACAACUUUAUAAAAGGCUGUAACAAUGCCUUUAAAAUCAAAUCUAUUAACUGUUCUACAGAGAAGCCAGUUUUCUAGUAACUUGGCCAUAACUUAAAGACAGGGACCCUGAAAACACCAAGCAUCUGCCUGCAAUCUGAAUUAUCUCCCUGACUAGAUUCAGUAAUCUUGGCUCUUCCCUGCAUUUAAGUCAUUUUGUGUACAUCAAUUUUCUCACCUAUGAAAGAAGAGAGUUGUCCAACAUGUUCUGAUGUUCUUUCAGUUCUGAGUUCUUUGGAUAAUUUGAUUGGAGCCCAAGAGAUGUCCUAAAUCUGACUGGCAUGCAGUAAAUGUUUGUUGAUUGUGAAAAAAUAUUUGACUUCCAAAUGGGUUGUAAAAUAUCUCGUGUGGACAUACUGCAGCAAGUUAACACUUAUAAUUUUGGGAGCAGAAUAAAU